ACAAAGGAGUGGGUCCGGUAAGGGCCGAUUUUGGCCUCAAUUUUCAAGUUCAUCUGACGAAAUAUUUUAGACACUUUUAAACACUUAAGUGUCUAUUUCAAUUGAUUUAAUUAGUGUUUGUGAAAGAUUUUAACUGCUUAAGUCAUUAAAAACGCUCCGAUUCAAGCUUAAAUAUGAAAAAUCUAUCAAAUUUGCCAAAAAUCGUCACUUUUCAGAUAGUUUUUGUCAAAAAUGAAAGUGGCCGCAUCCGUGUUCAUCCUCAACCUUUAUAUAUAUUAUGUAUUGUCGUCAAAUACAACUUGCAUUUCAAUACUAUGAAUGAACACGAAUGCGGCCACUUUCAUUUUAGACAGAAACCGUCUAAAACUUAACUAAAAUGCUAAUUUUGUGAAGAUUUCAGUAAUUUAGCAUGACUUUAUGAUGCCAGUUACCCGAUAUAAGUGCAUUGUAUUGUCAAAAACAGCCCAUAUUUAUGUAGCAGAAUCAUUCUACUUUUUAAUAAAUAGCUUCAUGAUUACAUUAUCACAAUUUUGUAAAACUGCUAUAUUUUGGGGCCAAAAAGGGGUCUUACUGAACCUACUCCUUU
rnacentral:lncRNA from 1 species